UACGUAGGGUGCAAGCGUUGUCCGGAAUUAUUGGGCGUAAAGAGCUCGUAGGCGGUUUGUCGCGUCUGCUGUGAAAACUCGGGGCUUAACUCCGGGCCUGCAGUGGGUACGGGCAGACUAGAGUGCGGUAGGGGAGACUGGAAUUCCUGGUGUAGCGGUGAAAUGCGCAGAUAUCAGGAGGAACACCGGUGGCGAAGGCGGCAUCCUGGACCAAUAUUGACGCUGAGGAGCGAAAGCCAGGGGAGCAAACGGG
rnacentral:rRNA from 1 species